UGGCAUUGAAGCGGUUGACUGUGUCGGUAUGCAGCCUGCUGUGGAGCCUGACCGUGGGUUAUGCGGUAACCACAAACCGGAUAGAUUCUUUGGAGUCGAACGAAAACGCUUAAA
rnacentral:sRNA from 12 species